AUGCGCCUCAUCAAGCUACACUCUGCUAUCAACUAUCAGCCCUCUGUUCACAAUCAUGUGAUCUUUCUACCAGAGGUUGAUAUGUCAGUUGAAGCCAUAUACCCUGAGCCUGCCAAGAAGCCUCUUUGUCUCCAAAAUGCUGAACACCAAAGCUUCACUCAGCCUAUGGAAGGAGUCCAUGCAGUAAGUCGUGUCUAUCCGAUGGCUGGAAACACUCGUCUGUCUCAUCAUGCGCCAACUGAAGCUACUGAGAGCACAAUUGCCCAAAGGCCUAAGAAGCGCUCUCGCGUCCUCAAUGACCGAGAACUUCUUGUGGCACUGCAUCAGAAACAAGACAAGCAUCACUUUUGGCUCAAGCGACAGAUGCAAAGCCUCUUGGUGGACAUCAAUCGCAUUCAAAAUCUUGCCACCAAGAAUGCCUUUGUCGCUCACGAGACCUGUCGGCGAUCAUGGAAGAGUUUGACAUUGCUCAGUGCUGAAGCAGAUCUUCAAGACGAUGGCUUCACUGAAAGAUUCAACUUUGACUCCACUCCUCCGCGGAAUGCUGUCCUAUGUAGAAAUCCAUCCCUUGAAGACUCUGACUAUUCUUCCUCCGCGGUAACUGUGAAUGCCAACGUGAUCGAUGAUGAAGACGAUGCUACUUCACCACCCCCUACUUCUGCACGCAUCAACACUGCACCAAGUUCGUCUGCACCUCCAACCAACAACGACAACCCUGCUGCUUCACCUACUCAUGAGGACGAGUAG
rnacentral:rRNA from 1 species